UGAUCAGCCACACUGGGACUGACACACGGUCCAGACUCCUACGGGAGGCAGCAGUGAGGAAUUUUGCGCAAUGGGGGAAACCCUGACGCAGCAACGCCGCGUGAGUGAUGAAGGCUUUCGGGUCGUAAAGCUCUGUCAAGUGGGAAGAACCUGCAGUAUGUUAAUAUCAUAUUGCAUUGACGGUACCACUAAAGGAAGCACCGGCUAACUCCGUGCCAGCAGCCGCGGUAAUACGGGGGGUGCAAGCGUUAUUCGGAAUCAUUGGGCGUAAAGAGCACGUAGGCGGCCUGGUAAGUCAGAUGUGAAAGCCCGGGGCUUAACCCCGGAAGUGCAUUUGAUACUGCCAAGCUUGAGUAUGGGAGAGGGAAGUGGAAUUCCUGGUGUAGAGGUGAAAUUCGUAGAUAUCAGGAGGAACACCGGUGGCGAAGGCGACUUCCUGGACCAAUACUGACGCUGAGGUGCGAAGGCGUGGGUAGCAAACAGGAUUAGAUACCCUGGUAGUCCACGCAGUAAACGUUGUUCACUAGGUGUAGCGGGUAUUGACCCCUGCUGUGCCGCAGUUAACGCAUUAAGUGAACCGCCUGGGGAGUACGGCCGCAAGGUUAAAACCCAAAGGAAUUGACGGGGGCCCGCACAAGCGGUGGAGCAUGUGGUUUAAUUCGACGCAACGCGAAGAACCUUACCUGGAUUUGACAUCCUGGGAAUCCUAUCGAAAGACUGGAGUGCCCUUCGGGGAGCCCGGAGACAGGUGCUGCAUGGCUGUCGUCAGCUCGUGUCGUGAGAUGUUGGGUUAAGUCCCGCAACGAGCGCAACCCUUGUCUUUAGUUGCCAUCAUUCAGUUGGGGACUCUAAAGAUACUGCCCC
rnacentral:rRNA from 1 species